GGGACUUUGCACUUACUCUUCCUGCCGCCUAAAACCUUCUUACCCCAGGUAUCUGCAUGGCUCAUUCUCACCUUCCUUGGACUCUGCUCAAAUGUCAUCAGAGAAGCCCUCAUAGAUAACACUAAAUGAACCAGAGGUGCUUCAUCCAUCACUUUCUCUCCCCUGACCCAAGGACCAGCUACAUGCUUUGAGGGGCCCAGUGCAAAAUGGAAAUGUGAGAUCCUUGGUUCAAAAAGCAAGGGAAAAAAUACGUGAUGUUAAAGAUCCUGUACUCCUGAACGUCUUCCCUGGAAAACUUCUUCCUGGGAUGUGGGCCCCCAGGCAACACCAUCGAGUUGAAGGGUUCUAUAACCGAAGGGACUUCUGGACCAGUGAGCUCAGCUCUUUGCCUAAGAGGGAGAAAAGGGAGCUCCACAGUCAUAGCUGGUCCACCAUGGUGCUGGUGCGCUGUCUUGGCCUCCUUCUCACAUGCCAGUGCUCUUCCUAUCCUGACCUCCAUAGAGGGACCUUUUCUCCUUGGAACUACCUGAGGUUCAGGUAGGUCCCCCCAGCUGAGCAGAAUACUAAAUAAGGCCGCAAAGAUGAGGAUGAAAGCCUGCAGGUUCAGGAUGGUGGGAAAGAUGGCAUUGGAACAAACGGUAACAUCUAGCAAGCAGUUUGCAUCGACUCUGCACGACAACCAAAAUAUGCUGUGUUGUCCAAAUGAAAAUUCUCCAAAAUAAUGACAUCAAGAUCAAACCAAGAUAAAGAGCUGGCAUCAUUAUACUUGACAGGCAUAUACAGUACUUAUGCUGAAAUUGAAAUGAUCAAAACUAACCUCAUGGAAAAAUGUAAGCACCCAAAGGUUGUAAGAAAAGUCAUACAAAUCAAAUUUAUAAAGCAAAUAAAUCAAAUUUAUAAAGCAAUUCUAAUGCCACUUUUGAAAAAAGUAAAUUCCCUCUUAGAGGACUCAUCGACUUCAUCCUAGUCCAAAAGCUUGUUGGGUGGCAGAAAUGAUGAUGAUUAUAGCCUGAGACAUCAGUAAAACUUUUGCAUCCACAAAAAAUGGGAAAACAGACCUUUAGGCAAAACGCUAAAAAUAGGCUCAUUUUGGUGAAAUGAAGCUGUUUGAAUAAAUGCAACUAAUAGUUUUUAUCUAAACCAUCUGUGGUGUGAAAUGGGAAGUCAUAUGGAAAAGUCCUUAGAGACUUCUGAUUGCUCUACAUUAGAAAGGAGAGGGGGAGAGAGAGAAAAGGGGUUUCUCUCCGUUUAUCUGAGAAUUAACAAAGUGAUCAGCAAAGUGACAGUGGAGGCCAACUCGUGCUGGCUGCAGGCAAUCUGGCUCCCCCAGCUGUCCAUGUGCUGAAGGUGAAUGUUCUGGGAACGCAAGACCAGAAUCAUUUCAAGAAACUGAUAGGUUAUAUAAAGUAGCAGAUUCUUUCCUUUGUAAGAAAGGAGAGAGAAGGAGAAUGAGAGAGAGAGAGAAGAAAAAUCCACUCUAAAACCACCCCCAGGGACUUAGUGUAGUAAAGGACUGUCACUUCUGUUGUGUUGGUCUGCUAAAACCACAUCUGGAAACCAGGUGUUAAAAAUGACCCAACUCAGCAGUGAGAAUGGCUUUGUAGAUACACAUAUUUUGUAAUAUUACCCGGAAAUUACAGUUUCAUUUAGAUAUAUCGUUCUUCCUUUCUUCUUGUAUGAAACUCCUGCCAAGACCAGAUUUAAGUUUCUGUGGGUCUACUUUGAUAAAAAAACAAAAACAAGACAAAAUACAAAAUGCUCCAUAGACUUGGUUGCAGUUUACAAAGAGGUGAAUUCUAAAGGGUUUCCUCGGGCCUGGGAAACUGGAUAAAACCAGAUCAAAGAUAAAUCUAGCAGUGAUGAUUGGUGCAAGCUACUUUUUUAUGGUGCACUUUCCACAUAUUUGAGCAUCACACCAAUAAUGUUAGGUUUCUGGAGGGACUUGAUCCACAGACCACGCACCAUGGGAAUAGCUCCCUUUCAUU